GCAGUAACUUGGUCUUCUGUCUUCUUUGUGGUCGCGGAGUCUCGGAGUCGACUCGCAUAUUGCGGGAGUCGACUCGAAUCUCAGAGUCCGAAAAAUGCUUUCUGUCUUUUUCCUUGUGUUCCUCUGAGAGUCGACUCUCACUUUCUUUGGAGUCGACUUGCCAACCAUCGUAGUCGACUCGUGUUCCACUGGAGUCGACUCGAAUCUCAGAUCCGAAAACUGCUCUCUGACUUUUCUGCCUGUGACUCCUUGGAGUCGACUCAUACUUCUCCGGAGUCGACUCGGUAAACAUUGGAGUCGACUCGCACACUUCGGGAGUCGACUCGCUGACAGGUUUUGAAUUGAAGCUUUCUGUUCAUUUGUCUGUUCUCAGUCGGAGUCGACUCNNNNNNNNNNNNNNNNNNNNNNNNNNNNNNNNGGUGAACUUGAUACGCUUGGAGUCGACUCGUGAUACUCUGGAGUCGACUCGAGUCUCAGACUUUGGUUCAAGCUGACUUCUUAACUUAUCCAAAAUACUAUGAACCAAGUCUAGAGACACUUAGAGAAGAUUUUCACUGAAAACACUUAAUUAAAUUCAUUAGUAAACAAGAAAUAUACUCAAAUGCUUUGAGCUCAUCAAAAUCAAAUAGGGUUUUAAUCAAUCACUCCACAAUGUGGAAGCCGGUAUGGCACCCUAAAUAGAAAAUUCCUGCUGUUAGGCUUAAAAAUAAGUUGCAGGCA
rnacentral:lncRNA from 1 species